rnacentral:lncRNA from 1 species
AAAUGGCAUCUGUUGCAGUUGAUCCACAACUGAGUGUGAUGACUCGGGUGGUCAACCUGCCCUUGAUGAGCUCCACAUAUGACCCCAUGUCCUCAGCCCAUGUCAGUACAAAGGACCAGUGUCCUACUUGAAGUCUGUGUGUGAGAUGGCAGGGAAGGGUGUGAAGACCAUCACCUCGGUGGCCAUGACCAGUGUGCUCUGCCCAUCAUCCAGAAGCUAGAGCUGCAAAUUGCAGUUGCCAAUAUCCGUGUCUGUAAGGGGCUAGACAGGAUUGAGGAGAGACUGCCUAUUCUGAAUCAGCCAUCAACUCAGGUUGUUGCCAAUGCCAAAGGUGCUGUGACUGGGGCAAAAGAUGCUGUGACGACUACUGUGACUGGGGCCAAGGAUUCAUCACAGGGUUGAUGGACAAGACCAAAGGGGUAGUGACUGGCACUGUGGAGAAGACCCAAGUCUGUGUCAGUGGCAGCAUUAACACAAGCUUAGGAAGUCAGAUAAUGCAGCUCAUGAGCAGUGGCUUGGAACAUGCGCUCACCAAAUCAGAGCUCUUGGUAGGACAGUACCUCCCUCUCACUGGGGAAGAACUAGAAAAAGAAGCAAAAAAAGUUGAAGGAUAUGAUAUGGUUCAGAAGCCAAGUUGUUAUGUUAGACUGGGAUCCCUGUCUACCAAGCUUCACUCCCUGUCUACCAAGCUUCACUUCGUAUGAGCAGGCUCUCAGCAGGGUUAAAGAAGCUAAGCAAAAAAGCCAAGAGACCAUUUCUCAGCUCCGUUCUUCUGUUCACUUGAUUGAAUUUGCCAGGAAGAGUGUGCAUAGUGCCAAUCAGAAAAUUCAGGAUGCUCAGGAUAAGCUCUAGCUCUCAUGGGUGGAGUGGAAAAGGAAUAUUGGAUACGAUGAUACUGAUGAGUCCCACUGUGCAGAGCACAUCGAGUCACGUACUCUUGCUAUUGCCUGCAACCUGACUUAGCAGCUCCAGACCACAUGCCACGGCCUUCUGUCCAACAUCCAUGAUGACCACAGAACAUCCAAGGUCAGGCCAAGCAUAUGAGGGUGAUGGCAGGCGACAUCUACUCAGUGUUCUGCAAUGCUGCCUCCUUUGAGGAAGUGUCUGACAGCCUCCACUUCUAGCAAGGGGCAGCUGCAGAAAAUGAAGGAAUCUUUAGAUGACUUGAUGGAUUUCUUGUUAACAACAUGCCCCUCAACUGGCUGGUAGGUCCCUUUCACCCUCAACUGACUGAGUCUCAGAAUGCUUAGGACCAAAGUGCAGAGAUGGACAAGAGCAGCCAGGAGGCCCAGCGAUCUGAGCACAAAAC